GGCUCAGUGGGUAGAGCAUGCGACUCUUGAUCUCAUGGUUUGUGGGUUCGAGCCCCAC
rnacentral:tRNA from 1 species